UUGUUUAUAGAUCGGAAAA
rnacentral:snRNA from 1 species